rnacentral:rRNA from 1 species
AUUGAACGCUGGCGGCAUGAUUUACACAUGCAAGUCGAACGGUAACAGGCCGCAAGGUGCUGACGAGUGGCGAACGGGUGAGUAAUGCAUCGGAACGUGCCCAGUCGUGGGGGAUAACCACUCGAAAGAGUAGCUAAUACCGCAUACGAUCUAUGGAUGAAAGCGGGGGACCGUAAGGCCUCGCGCGAUUGGAGCGGCCGAUGUCAGAUUAGGUAGUUGGUGGGGUAAAGGCUCACCAAGCCAACGAUCUGUAGCUGGUCUGAGAGGACGACCAGCCACACUGGGACUGAGACACGGCCCAGACUCCUACGGGAGGCAGCAGUGGGGAAUUUUGGACAAUGGGCGCAAGCCUGAUCCAGCAAUGCCGCGUGCAGGAAGAAGGCCUUCGGGUUGUAAACUGCUUUUGUACGGAACGAAACGGCUCUGGUUAAUACCCGGGGCUAAUGACGGUACCGUAAGAAUAAGCACCGGCUAACUACGU